GGGGAGGGGGACCCAAAAGGGGGAAUGGGACCCCAAAAGAGGGAGGGGGGACCCCAAAAGGGGGAAUGGGACCCCAAAAGGGGGGGGGGGACCCUAAAAGGGAGGGAGGGACCCCAAAGGGGGAAUGGGACCCCAAAAUGGUGGUGUAGGAACACAGAAGGGGGAGGGGGGACCCCAAAAGGGAGAAUGGGACCCCAAAAGGGGGGGAGGGACCCCAAAAGGGGAAUGGGACCCCAAAAGGGGGAGGGGGGACCCUAAAAGGGAGAAUGGGACCCAAAAGGGGGAGGGACCCCAAAAGGGGGAAUGGGACCCCAAAAGGGGGAGGGGGGACCCCAAAAGGGAGAAUGGGACCCCAAAAGGGGGGGAGGGACCCCAAAAGGGGGAAUGGGACCCCAAAAGGGGGAGGGGGACCCCAAAAGGGGGAAUGGGACCGCAAAAG
ensembl:lncRNA